AGACUUUGAUUCUGGCUCAGGGUGAACGCUGGCGGCGCGCCUAACACAUGCAAGUCGAACGAAGAAAGGGUAGCUUGCUACCCGAGUAAGAGUGGCGAACGGGUGAGUAAAGCGUAGGAAUCUGCCCAAAGGACCGGGAUAACUGCUGGAAACGGUAGAUAAGACCGGAUAAGCCCGAGAGGGGAAAGUAUCGAGAGAUAGCCGAAGGAGGGGCCUACGUCCCAUCAGGUAGUUGGAAGUGUAAGAGACUCCCAAGCCGACGACGGGUAGCCGAUGUGAGAGCAUGAUCGGCCACAAGGGCACUGAGACACGGGUCCUACUCCUACGGGAGGCAGCAGUGGGGAAUUUUGGACAAUGGACGGAAGUCUGAUCCAGCGACGCCCCCGUGAAGGAAGAAGUCCUUCGGGAUGUAAACUUCUGAACUUAUC
rnacentral:rRNA from 1 species